CCCUUAGAUGUCCGGGGCCGCACGCGCGCUACACUGAAGGAAUCAGCGUGGCCUUCUCCCUGACCCGAAAGGGUUGGGAAACCCGUUGAAUCUCCUUCGUGAUAGGGAUUGGGGCUUGAAAUUGUUCCCCAUGAACGAGGAAUUCCCAGUAAGCGCGAGUCAUAAGCUCGCGUUGAUUACGUCCCUGCCCUUUGUACACACCGCCCGUCGCUACUACCGAUUGGGUGUGCUGGUGAAAUGUUCGGAUCGGCCGUUUGUCGCGGUUUCCGCGUCAUGUGGCUGAGAAGUUCAUUAAACCCUCCCACCUAGAGGAAGGAGAAGUCGUAACA
rnacentral:rRNA from 1 species